AUCUUGUAAUUCUACUAUCUCUGGUGGCAAGGAGGCAGUUCCGCGUUCUAGAUCAUUUGUCCUUCGCGCUUGCCGUCGUUUUUGAAAAAGAAGACAAUCAUUACAUCCAUUCAAAGAUAAACAGGGAUUGCAGAUUGACGUCAUGUGGGCUGAGUGAACACGGUUUAUUUGGAUUUAGAAGCUGCAGUUUAAGGACUCCAUCUGCUGGAUGACGCUGACAUGGUCAUGCAGAAGAUACAUCACUGAUCUGCAAAGACCGCAGGAGUUUGGGCAUCAGGAUGCGAGGAGUCACCCCAGAGUUGAGGUCCCGCUCGAAUUCCAAAAGCUGGCCCAUGAAGUUUAGAUUGGGGGACACCACAGGACGCCGGCUUCGCACGUACUUGUAGGCAUCUGUCAUUGUCAUGAGGGUGUGCUUCAUAAGGUAGGCAAUGACGAUGGUUGCCGAACGGGACACGCCUGCCUGGCAGUGCACCAACACUCCCUGUCCACUCUGAUAUGCCUCCUCUGUGGAUGAGAGCAACAACACAAUUUAGCUUUAUUUACUCAGUUAAAGAAGUAAAACUGUAAGCAUCUGUGAAUACAUCAAUUAUAAUUACCAUCAUUAAAAUUCACAACUGAUGUACAUUUA